GAUGAGGAGUGGGGCUGGCCCCUCCUCAUUCUUGUAAAAGAAGCAGGAAGAAAGAGAAAGGCAAAAAAAAGGGGUAGGGAAAAAAAGGAAAUCACAGCCAUACGAGCUACGCUCCCCCAGCUGAACUGUAUCUGCGUUUUAACAGUGGAAGAAAAGACAUUAUAUGGCAUCGCGCUCCUCCCGCAACCCUGCCAGCCUCAUCUGUCAGCCAUUACUUAAUCAUGGCCGAUAACACAGAGCACAGAGAGCUGGCACAGCGCGUGGGACCAGAAGACAGUUUCACCUCUGAGAGCAAGAGGAGGGCAAGGACUCAGGGACCUCUGAUUCAGCGAUCUACAGCUGGGUUGCUUCACUCACCAGCACCCACUCAGGACUGGCAGGCAGAAACCUCGAGAUGACCCAACCCACUGCUUUAAUCUAAACAGGGAGGUUUCAGAGACAGAAGCCAAAACAACACAUAUUAUCAACAUGGGAACAGCUGUUUUUCACAGACGUUUUGACGCAAGAUCCACAUUGAACUUCCAAAUGGCUAAAACUAAGCACAUUCUGACCUAAACGUGUAAGUAUGAACUUGCCAUAAAGUGUUAAAUAAACAGCAGGUUGAGUGGCAUGUACAACAGUCUCCAACACCGUUUGCUUUUCAAGUCAACACCACUCAGAUAGAAUAUAACAAGUGACAUAAGGAAAAAAAAUGGACUAUCCAGUCAAUUUUUCCAACUCUAAAGAUUCCACCGAGACAUUUCUCAAUGAGCUUGUUAAACAUCCUGCAAUGAGCGCUAUAAUGAACACAGCCAAAAAUGAAGAGUAGUCAUAUAAACAUAAGAAUAAAGCAAAUUCUUGAUGGCACAACUUGGAAAAACACAAACAGCAGAUCAGUUACAAGUCAUAAAGUAGUGACCUGUGACACGGGGCAGCCAAGUCAAACUUCCUCUUCCUGCUAAAUGUUACGCAGCUGCUUUUCUUUUUACAAACAGCAACGUAUGGAAAAGCUCAGAGAAGAGAAAGAUCUGAACCUUUCAAUUUUUUCUAGGAAAAAGAAAUGUACAAGGAACUGAUGCAAAGGAAUCUUACACUUAAUGCAUAUUUUCAAAGUGGUAUUCAGUUUUGUUUUUAGCCUUUGUGUGGAUAUUGCCUUGUUUACCUUAUAAAUUGUUUUUCUCUCUUUCACCAUCAUUUUCUUUUUGUUUUGUAGCUCUCCAACACUGUACCUCAUUUUAGCCAAGUCCAAGGAUGGUAUCAAUUCUUAGCAAAGGAAAAUUUUUCCACCAGAGAAAAAAUACAAUAGGAAUCAAUACAGAAAGUAAAUAACAACAAUAAAGGAGAACAGAUAAUAGUCAGGUCUCAGAGUUCCUCCGUCAAUCCAAAUGCAUCAUGCAGGGGUCAUGUGGUGAGGUGGAAUUAACAUCCUUUAUAACUUCAAAAAGAAACAGAACUACCAGGUGGUGAUACAGCACUUACAGUAGAGUCUGAUCAAAAACAUUAAGGUUUUUAUUUUAGCUAAAAGUUGAAACAAAGCGCUAUUCGCUCUGUUACUGAAACUGACCUAGAACACAGUAUCAAUCGUUAUCGCACCCACAAGAGGGGAAACAGCUCCAUUUCACUUCAUCACUUGAUAGCAUCGACAUGCCCAAACAUGAACAGGCCCCAUUAAGUCUGUGGUGGUAGCCUCAUGUGAGAGGACUUUUCAUGUAAGUGGAGUCUAUGAAGUAACUCCUGUGGGUUUAAAAACACUUCACAGUGCUUCACUUAAAGGAAUGCAAAAAAGCAGAUGUUUUGUACCUGUGUGAAAACACGAUCAUGUUCUCUGCCAUUCAGCCAGCCCGGAGAAGACCAAAUUAAAUGCUUCCAGAGACCUUCAA